rnacentral:rRNA from 1 species
UACGAAGGGUGCUAGCGUUGUUCGGAAUUACUGGGCGUAAAGCGCGCGUAGGCGGCUUUUCAAGUCAGGGGUGAAAUCCCACAGCUUAACUGUGGAACUGCCUUUGAAACUGUAAAGCUAGAGUGUCGGAGGGGAUAGCGGAAUUGCUAAUGUAGAGGUGAAAUUCGUAGAUAUUAGCAGGAACACCGGUGGCGAAGGCGGCUAUCUGGACGACAACUGACGCUGAGGCGCGGAAGCGUGGGGAUCAAACAGG